rnacentral:rRNA from 1 species
AUUGAACGCUGGCGGCAGGCCUAACACAUGCAAGUCGAGCGAGCGGCUGACGGGUGAGUAAUGUCUGGGAAACUGCCUGAUGGAGGGGGAUAACUACUGGAAACGGUAGCUAAUACCGCAUACCAUCAGAUGUUCCCAGAUGGGAUUAGCUAGUAGGUGGGGUAAUGGCUCACCUAGGCGACGAUCCCUAACUGGUCUGAGAGGAUGACCAGCCACACUGGAACUGGGACACGGUCCAGAGUCCUACGGGAGGCAGCAGUGGGGAAUAUUGCACAAUGGGCGCAAGCCUGAUGCAGCAAUGCCGCGUGUGUGAAGAAGGCCUUCGGGUUAUAAAGAACUUUCAGCGGGGAGGCGUGACCCGCAGAAGAAGCAACGGCUAACUCCGUGCCAGCAGCCGCGGUAAUAA